CGGUGAAUACGUUCCCGGACCUUGCACACACCGCCCGUCAAGCCAUGGAAGCUGGGUGUACCUAAAGUCGGUAACCGUAAGGAGCCGCCUAGGGUAAAACUAGUGACUGGGGGCU
rnacentral:rRNA from 1 species